rnacentral:rRNA from 1 species
UACGAAGGGUGCAAGCGUUAAUCGGAAUUACUGGGCGUAAAGGGUGCGUAGGCGGUUGUUUAAGUCUGUCGUGAGAUCCCCGGGCUCAACCUGGGAAUGGCGAUGGAUACUGGGCAGCUAGAGUGUGUCAGAGGAUGGUGGAAUUCCCGGUGUAGCGGUGAAAUGCGUAGAGAUCGGGAGGAACAUCAGUGGCGAAGGCGGCCAUCUGGGACAACACUGACGCUGAAGCACGAAAGCGUGGGGAGCAAACAGG